AAAAUAUCUUAAUUUGUGUUCUGAAGAUGAAUGAAGGUCUCACGGGUGUGGAACGACAUGAGGGCAGCAUCAGAAACAAUGAAGAUGAGUCUUCCUGUCACUCACCUUUGGUUUGAACUGGCGAGCAAACAGCAGGUAUCUGCGAAUCUCAUCUAGAUUGUAGACACGCUCCACAGAAUUCUCAAUCCUGGAGUGGAGAUCCACUAUACGCCUGGCUAUGGCAUAAUCAGUGACCUAAAGAGAGAGAGACAGAGGCAUUUACUAACAGUAUAACAACAUCCUGCUGUAUCCACAAUCAUCUUCAUAUGCUGUUACACUGUUGUUCAUGAUCAUACCUCAUUGCAGUCGUCCACCAGGAUGAAGAAGAGAUCGAAUCGUGACAUGAUGGGUGCCGUCAGGUUGAUGUUCUGCUUGAGAGAUUUGGAGCGGUCGUAACGCCCACUUACUGGGUUCGCCGCAGCCAAGAUGGAUGUACGAGCAUUCAGAGUUGCCUACGAUUUGAAAAAAUAGUCUCUUAUGGAACAAGUAUGAAAAUAUCUUGGCUAUUAUGGCUAGGGGUGAGCAAUAUAUGUGGACACCUGCAGACACAAGCUACCGUUUUAAAGUCCCAGAAAGGUAAAGACAUCAUUAAAGUAAUCCAUGUGACUCCAGUGCUUUAACCUCAGUUUUAUGAAGCAACACGAGUGCUUUGUUUGCCCCCAAAAAACAAAAUUUACCACUUUAUUUACAAAAUAUUAAUCUCCAACAUGCAUUCAUGAGAGCACCACGAUGCAUGCGUGUUGACGCAAAAGCAAGUGCUUCAUAAAAUUGAGGUUAAACCACUGAGUCACACGGAUUACAUAAUUAAUGAUAUCUUUACUACCGUUCUGGGGCCUGAAAAUGGCAGCUGUGUAGGCUGUCAAUGGAGGGAUAAAGCUCUCAGAUUUCAUUAAAAAAGAUCUUAAUUUGUGUUCUGAAGAUGAACGAAUGCCUUACAGGUUUGGAAUGACAUGAGGGUGAGUAAUUUAUGACAGAAUUUUCAUUUUUGCGUGAACUAACCCUUUAAGACAUGAAAGAGAAUUCAAGUUCUCGCAUGUCAUUUAUAUCUUAAGAAAAAAUUGGAUGUCAAUGCAUUAAGUCUUAAAGUGACAGCAGCCUAAUAUACUUGCUGCUGUCUUGAUGUUAAUCAAACAACAAUGGGAAAAGAUUGUGAUUUAUAUCGUUAUCAUGAAAUAAAAUUACUCAUACUGUA